AGAGAGCGGGAGUAGCAGCAGUGAUCAGUCUGUCUCCAGUUAGCUGUAUAACAAAGUCCUGAGGAAACACAGCGGCCUCCCAAGGAACAGCCUGCCUGUCUGCCUCAUUUCAGAGUGGGUUAUUGAAGCCGAAGCCUGGUGCUUCAGUCCGGGAAGACUGCAGAGAGUCCUCCCCUGUAUUCCUCCACUACGGUCUGGGAGCAGCAUCUAUCUCCACUGUUGCUGUACCCAUGUUAAUGUCCCUCUGUGGGACCAAUAAAGGACUUCUGAUUCUGCGACAGACAGAAGAGAGGGGGGAGGGGCGGGUUGGAGAGCGGCCUUCUUCUUUUCCCGAAGAGUCCUCUUCCUCGUAGCCCACCGUAUCCCAGGAUGCAAUGCGCGCCAGUGACAAGCAAACAAAGAAAAUGUCGGUCGGUCUCAGAGAGAAAGCAGCACGUGAGGAGUAACUGAUAAACGACAAUUCUGGAGGACUGGGUCUGCUGGGGAAGGAGCUGCCACCCACACAGGACCCCCCUUGGUGAUAUUGUCAUAUCAGAUACACAACUACGGUGUAGUUAUGCCAUGCAAACCCGUCCAGCAGCUGGUGGUGGUUAAAGAAGAGGUUCCCCCUGAGCAGCAGGAGUGGAGCUCCAGUCUGGACCAGGAGGACCCAG